CAAAAUCAAGAAGGAGCCUGGACACAGUGAGAAGUGAAGAGGCUAGGACAAAGGGUGGCAGAAUCUCUAACUAUUUCCUGGCUCUGUCACUUAACCAAGCAGAAAUAAAGAUUUUUUUGACUGUUUGGAAAGUUUGUGGCCCUAAGCCGUUUUACUUAAUGUUUAAUUUACAACAAAUAAACCAUUCAGCUUAAAGUCUAUGCCUACAUUUCUGAGAACAGCCAAGUAGAGAGUGUACGACAGAGAGGAGAAAAUUGAGGUUAAGAGAGAUGAAGUAUUUUACAUGUGGUCCUGAAACUACUAGGUUGGGAGUCUAGGAUUUGAUCCAGAGACCAUCUGCCUUCACAGCUCAUCCCUCUCCACUGUAAUACAUGCCUGAAAUAACUGUUUGUAGGUUGGGAAACUGGCUUGCAGAGAAUAUGGUGAAGUAAGAGGAAGAUGUGAAAUAAAAUCUCCAUUCUACUCAGUCUUAGAAUAUUGUGUGGAGGUGUAAUAUUCUAGUUAUUCAAUUAGAGAGAUAAAGUCCUGAAAAACGAAAAAACCAACUAAAGUGCCAGCAUAUCUCAGGGUAAAGUGAGGAGAAUAAAGACAACUGAAGACCCCACUUUUUCUCAUCUCUUGUAUGAAAUGCAAAUUUGUCACAUUGAUCCUUAUAAGUUUAGAAGAUUAAAUGCUACUUUGCAGUAACAGUUGGCUGGCAUUGAAAUAAAUUCACGGCAACUACAGAGCGCUACAGUCUAGAGUCGACAUUCAAGUGUUUGGAAAAAAUAAAAGAAGGAAGAAAUAAAAGAAAAGAAAAGAGAGAGAAUGAAAGACGUGGUUUUCCGUGCACUCUUCUCGGUAGCAUUUGGGUGGUGAAGCAAUCAAUGGUCGCAGUUUUUGACAGCAAUGCAUUAUAUGGAGAGAGAUACUCAGCUCUAAUUCUUUACCCUUUCUCCAAGUUUUGUAACUAAAUAACCUUUUUAAAUAAAAUAUUGCAACAGUCCUGCA
rnacentral:lncRNA from 1 species